rnacentral:rRNA from 1 species
GACGAACGCUGGCGGCGUGCUUAACACAUGCAAGUCGAACGGUGACGAGGAGCUUGCUCCUCUGAUCAGUGGCGAACGGGUGAGUAACACGUGAGCAACCUGCCCCAGACUCUGGGAUAACAGUUGGAAACAGCUGCUAAUACCGGAUACGAGACGGAGAGGCAUCUCUACCGUCUGGAAAGUUUUUCGGUCUGGGAUGGACUCGCGGCCUAUCAGCUAGUUGGUGAGGUAAUGGCUCACCAAGGCGACGACGGGUAGCCGGCCUGAGAGGGCGACCGGCCACACUGGGACUGAGACACGGCCCAGACUCCUACGGGAGGCAGCAGUUGGGGAAU